CAAAUAAGGUGAACCGUCGCUACUGACUUUAGCAACAGUUUGUUAAUUCAGUAGAGGAACUUCCCGACUCUCUGCCGACUUUGAGUGGGUAAGAUUGCCUCGCGAAACAGUAAGUGAGGGCAUUGCCGCGAGAGCGGGCAAUGACUACAACCGCAACAGAAAGCAUACCCACCUCGGAAAUUAAGUUUCUGGGGUAAGGGGUGAAACGGUGGGGUAAGAGCCCACCAGCAGUGUGUGGUAACACCUUUGGCUGGGCGAGCGUGCAAUUGAGAGCAAGGUGAGUGGGUCAGGCUACUUGAAUAGAUAGUUUGAUCUCAUCGCAGCAACGCGGGUGAGGCCGGGUAACACUCGGUAAGCCAUAAGUUGCCACCCCAUAACAUAUGUGGGUGAGAUAGAUGACGGUUAAAACAGAAUCGGGGGUACUCCCUUAUUUAUGAU
rnacentral:RNase_P_RNA from 1 species